UACGUAGGGGGCAAGCGUUGUUCGGAAUUACUGGGCGUAAAGGGCGCGUAGGCGGCCUUCUAAGUCAGACGUGAAAUCCCCCGGCUUAACCUGGGAACUGCGUCUGAUACUGGAGGGCUUGAGUAUGGGAGAGGGAUGUAGAAUUCCAGGUGUAGCGGUGAAAUGCGUAGAUAUCUGGAGGAAUACCGGUGGCGAAGGCGGCAUCCUGGACCAUUACUGACGCUGAGGCGCGAAAGCUAGGGGAGCAAACGGG
rnacentral:rRNA from 1 species